UGGGGAAUUUUGCACAAUGGGGGAAACCCUGAUGCAGCGACGCCGCGUGAUUUAGAAGGCCUUCGGGUUGUAAAAAUCUUUUUUACGGGAUGAAAAUGACAGUACCGUAAGAAUAAGGUCCGGCUAAAUACGUGCCAGCAGCCGCGGUAAUACGUAUGGACCGAGCGUUGUCCGGAAUCAUUGGGCGUAAAGGGUACGUAAGCGGCCUAGUAAGUUAGAAGUGAAAUAAUAUAGCUCAACUAUAUAAAGCUUUUAAAACUGCUAGGCUUGAGAGAUGGAAGGGAAAGUGGAAUUCCUAGUGUAGCGGUGAAAUGCGCAGAUAUUAGGAAGAAUACCGGUGGCGAAGGCGACUUUCUGGUCAUCAUCUGACGCUGAGGUACGAAAGCGUGGGUAGCAAACAGG
rnacentral:rRNA from 1 species